rnacentral:rRNA from 1 species
UGAGUAACACGUGGACAACUCUGCCCCCGGCCCGGGAUAGCCCAGGGAAACCUGGAUUAAUACCGGAUGAGACGGGACCUGCGGAUGGCGGGAUCCGGGAAAGGCGCUACGGCGCCGCCGGGGGAGUGAGUCUGCGUCCCAUUAGCUAGACGGCGGGUAACGGCCCACCGUGGCGACGAUGGGUAGCCGGCCUGAGAGGGUGGACGGCCACAUUGGAACUGAGACACGGUCCAGACUCCUACGGGAGGCAGCAGCUAAGGAAUCUUCCGCAAUGGGGCGAAAGCCUGACGGAGCGAACCGCCGCGUGAACGAAGAAGGCCGUGAGGUUGUAAAGUUCUUUUCGGGAGGGGGAACAACCGUGGCAGGGAAUGGCCGCGGGAUGACGUGAAUCCCGGAAUAAGCCCCGGCUAACUACGUGCCAGCCGCCGC